GUUUAACAAGCACAGCUCGUCCAGACUCAGCAGGGCGAGUCUCCAGCCAUAUUAAGUGGCCAUGAGAGUCUACAGUGAAGCCUUCAAGGCGUUUAUCAGAACCCGAGACGAUAUCUGCAGUGAUAGGUGACUUCCAUGAUCCAUAUGGAGCCCUAUUUUUUUCAGCAGUAGCCAUAGUAUCUAUCUUCAAUCAUCUAAGGUUAAAUGUGUAGUGAAAGUGAGUAUAUG
rnacentral:misc_RNA from 1 species